CAGGAGCGACAGCACAUCGCAGCUCUCGGAAGGCAAAUCCCCUUUCACAACGGCAGCUUCAGCAGCCUCUUUUUUUUUUUUUUUCCCUUUCUUUUUUUUUUUUUUUUUUUUUUUUUUUUUUCAGGGGAAAAAAAAAAAAAAAGUCCGCAACACUUUGAAAAUGUCAAAUUCCUGCGGCAGCCCAGAAGAGCCGGGGAAGCAGCGAGGCAGAGAUGGCAAGAUAAGGAGGGAGGAUGUGGAUGAUUCCCAGCCUGAGGGAAAGAGGUUGAAGCUGGGGAAUGAAGGAGGAACCGGUGGAAAGGACAGAGAAGCAGCAGCAGAAGAUGCAAUAAUGCCUUGUUCAGGCAGAGAAGAGCCCGUGCCCGGAGGAGGUGGUGAAGGCAAAAGUGACUAUAAAUCUGAUGUUAUGACUCUGGUUUCCAGUGCCAAGAACAGCCCUCAAGGUCCAAAGGUGAACACAUCAAGAGCGGCGUGUGUGACUGACAGCAUCGCUCCUCCGAGCUCCUGGCCGUGCAGAAAUGGAGCAGUGCCCAGGAGCUGGGCUGAAAGCAAAUGUCAGCAUCCACAGAUGUGAGAUGAGCCUUCCAGCUGUUCCUGUGUGCUCAGUAUCACAAAACAGCAAAUGCAACGGCUUU
rnacentral:lncRNA from 1 species